GAGGGGACAGAAAUCUCUCGCGAGCCAGUACCUGUUUUCACCUUGAGUAUUUUACAAAAGGAUACAGAGAGGCUGUCACUACUGUAGUUAUUGUCGUGGUAAAUUAACUGUUGCACGGCCCCCAAAUUGCUCCAUGGCAGCCAAGGGGAGCGGAGCCUACGAGGAUUCUGGAACCCAGGGUUCUGGCGUAGGUCAGAGGCGAUGGCUGGAGGGAACAGUCCCGCUGGUCCUGGUGAGCUAGGCCCUCCUGGGUCUAGAUCCUGGGCCCCAGGUUACCCUUAAGAGCGGUGGGCGCGUAGCGAACGGAGUGAUCAGCCCGGAACCCCCGAGUUCCUGGGCAUACGUGGACCUUCGUUCCCUGACUGGGGUCCUGUGCACACAGACAAGAUGGGCUUUUACAGUUCAGAUUGGAACAAACCACCCUGGCAGCAGAAAUCCACCUCAAGAUGAAAUAAUAUCUACCUGGCCCUCUAGAGGAAUAAGGAAGAUAUGAAGACCAUGAAGAAACUGGCUUCAUGGCUGAGGGUCUGGAGAGGUGAAGAGAUGGCCACGUCUCCAGCCUUAUGAGAGAAUGUUCAGGUUUACUUUCUAACAAUAUGCUGGUUCUAAGAAAAGAAGGGGAAGCCCCACAGCCGGUUUUCCAGUAAGAGGGGUCUAUGUUCCUCACACUGGGGAAAUUGGUGGUGGCUUGGUGUUCAUGCAUUUCCUGCAUGUUUGUGGGUAACAGUCACAUCCAAGGACAUAUUAUUAUCUUCAUGGAGGAGAAUAGAAGAGACUGAGCUGUGAGCGAGGAACAUAUACAAUGAAGGGAUGCUGGAAAACUGGAAUCUGCUGUCUUUGGGUGACUCCAGCCCAGGAAUCAGAAGUCCCAGGAGCAGCAGUAUUGUGAUCAAAGCUUCUAGAGUGAAACCACCAAAGUUGUGAGAGAGAGAAGGUGGCUUCAAAGACUCGCAAGUGUGGGCACAGGAGAGAAGGAGGAAAGGAAGCCUCAAGGACAUUCUCCACCCUCUUCCAAGAACAGUCGUCAAGAGGAGGUAACAUGGUGUAGAAAAAGAGCCUCACUCAGCUCAGAGGGUAAACCUUUUGUAACCAAAGGGUUGAAGGAGUUAGAGACCUUGAUAUUGGAGCAGUGGACUAUAGAGUGUGUGAGCCAGACUGUAGCCUGAAAUCAAACUUCAUUGCAAAGUCCAAGACUCUUGCAGGCAAGAAGCCCUAUGUUUGCAGUGAUUUCAGGCCAUAAGUCGACCCUCAUCAGACACCAUUGGACACACUCAAUGGAGAAGCCAUGUGUGCAGUGAGGGUGGCAGAGGCAUUAGCUAGAAGCCCAACAUCAGCAGCCAUCAGAAAACAUUCAGAAGAGAAAGCUUUCUUGUGCAAGGAGUGUGAGUAUAGCUUUAGAAAUAAGUCUAUCCUCAGUAGACAUCAAUGGACUCACUUAGGGAGAAUCCUUGCAUUCACAGCAAGCAUGAGUGAAGCUUUGGCCAGAGGUCAUCCUUCUUCAUAACCAGAAGAUCCACUCAGGUGAGAAACCUUCCAUGUGCCUGGAGUGUGGACGAGGCUUCAUGAUGAGGUGAAGACACCAGAGGCUGCUUAGGGGAGAAGGUUAUGUUUGCAGGGAGUUUGAGGCCUUAGCAACACUCAGUCCUACUCAGCACACCAGAGGAUACUCAGGUGAGAAGCCUUCAAUUUUCAGGGUGUGAGGAAGGCUUUUGCCUCAAGUCAGACCCCAUUAUGCAUGAGAGGCACACUCACAGGAGAAGCCUCACAUGUGCAGUGAGUGGGGUGAGUAUGGUGUGAAAUCACACCUCCUUGUCCACCAUAGGACACAGAGGGGAGAAGCAUUAUGUUUGUGGGGAGUGUGGGCAGAGCUCUAGCUAGAAGUCAAAUCUGAUCUCACACUGGAGGAUAAACUGAGAGGAGAAGCCUUGUAUGUGAGAGGCUCACGGGCAAGACUAGAGCCACCAGUCAGGCCUUAUCUUAAAGCAGAGACACAAUGAGGAUCUCUGUGUGCAUGUGGAGUAUGAGUGACGUUUCAGAGCUGUGUCACCUCCUGUAGGCCCCGAGGACACAUUCUGGAGCAUAGCAAUAAAUCAGCCUCAUUUAGGGAAAGUCCUGUGUGUGUAGGGAGUGUGGGUAAGGUGUUAGUAGCAAGCCAGCACUUAGAGACAUCCAGUGACUGCCCUGUGGAGGUGUCAAACAUUUGGGGUGUUGGUUAGCAUCAGCAAGAAGGUGAACAGGCAGCACAAGAGGGCCUUCUGUGGUCCCACACCUCAGGAAGAAUCUGCACGGGGGAUGCUCAGUCAGGUGAUCUUUUUGGGGCUGAUACCCCAGCUACUUGAGGGAAGGGCCUCUCCCUCCCUUAAGGGAAGCUGCACUCCUCUGAGGCACCAGCUCUUAGCCACAGGGAGCUGCAGACUCCCCAAGGACUCCUAAAAGUGACUGCUUCAAGUUAGGAGACAAAACCCCACCCUUGACUCAACUGAGACAAUUACCCAGGUCCUGCCCAAUCCAGAGCCCCACUGGACUAAACGAUCUCUCAGUUGCAAACACUGCAGGUCAGCCCUGUCCUCUGCCCAGUCCUGCCCUGGGCCCAAGUGGACCCUGACUACCUCCCAUGGUCUCUGCAGGAACCUAAUUGAGGCCAUCUUUUGUGUCAGAGUGAGGAUGAGGCUUUUGCCAUGUCACCUCUGAGCAGAUAUCAGAGUAUACAGAAAAGAAACUGGGUGCACAGGGAGUGGGCAAGGACAUAAGAAAGAGGCACGCUGUCUCAGGGAACAGCUUUUUUUGGGAGAGGUGUUACAUGGGCAGGAGUGGGGAGGAUGUGAGAUGCCUUAGCAGUAAGUUUAACCUCCCAGACACCAAAGGACACACUUAGGAAGAAGGCCUGUGUGUGGGAGGGGUUGUGGCUGAAGGUUUACCUUGAUGGUCCUGCCUCAUUCACCUCUGAGGGUCUCCAGGAGAAAUCCCAGCCUCCCCCCAUACUCUGAGAGUAAAGUGGCAAUAGAAAUUAAAUGGACUCCCCCCCACUUUUUAUAAUUAGAUGGAAUAAAAAAGUAGGCAUUCAUUAAGUUUUCUUUUUGUACAUCAGUUCUUUCCCUGGCUUCUUAUCCUUUGCUUUGGUCUUGAAUUCAGAACCCUCAUCAUUCUUCCUCACUUUCAGUUUUAGAAUGGUCUUUUUUCAUGUUGGUUUUUGCUGAGUUUUCUGGAGAAAAAAUUGGUGAUUGUGAAAAAUGAACAUCAAUUUUAGUAUGGAAACAUUUGACUCAAUAAUUGCAAUAGGUGGGAACUAUGUAAUCUGAUGGAAAAAAUUGUAGAAAUAUGACUACUUGGAAAGAUAUAGUAGCACCAUGUAUAAUGACUCUGUGUCAUAGUCACCUCUAGGUUACAGAGAAGUUUGGGGCAGGAAGGACUUUCAAGAUGGCUAGCAAUGUGACAGCACUUGUUUGUGAAAUGAGGUAUGGUGGCCAGGCAUGUUGGCACACACCUGUAAUCCCAGCACUUGGGAGUUUGAGGCAGGGGGAUUGCCACAAGUUUGAGGUGAGCCUGGUCUGCAUAGUGGGUACAAAUCCAGCCUAAAUUACAUAGCAAGACUCUGUCUCAAAAAACAGAAAACAAAAAACAAAACAACCAGGUAUGGUGAUGCAUAUUAAAGUGGACCUAAUAAAUACAUACACACAAGUGUUGUAAUAAUCUGCACAUAUAUUUCUCACUUAUGAAAAAUAAACCCAGAAUUUUAAAUAUAUUUUUUAAUGAACUGUAUAUGUUUAGGGGUAACAUGGUGAUAUAUACACAUUAUGUAAUGUUUUCAUCAGGGUAAAAAAAAUCUAUUUCCUCAAAAAUAUAUUGUUUUAAUGGUGAGAACACUCAAAGUCCUUUCUUCAAGCUUUUUGGAGUACAGUAUAAUGGUCGUGCUAUGUGCAGGAUACCAGAAUUUAUUGUUCCUAACUAUACCUCAGAACCCAUUUAUCAACCUCUCCUGAUCCCUCCCUCAACAUAAAAAAAUUUUUUUGAAUCAGUUUCUUUCUAAAAGAGAACAGAUGGUACUAGAUUCCUGGAAACAUGAAAUUUUCUUAUUGCCUCAUCAUGUUCCAUUAGUAAAUACCAUAUUAUCCUUUUAUUUCCUCCUAAU